AGGGUUUGAUUAUGGCUCAGGAUGGACGCUAGCGGCAGGCUUAACACAUGCAAGUCGAGGGGUAUAUAUAGCUUGCUAUAUAGAGACCGGCGCACGGGUGCGUAACGCGUAUACAAUCUACCUUAAUCAAAGGGAUAGCCCAGAGAAAUUUGGAUUAAUACCUUAUGUGAUAAUUAAUUGGCAUCGAUUAGUUAUUAAAGAUUUAUCGGAUUAAGAUGAGUAUGCGUCCCAUUAGCUAGUUGGUAUGGUAACGGCAUACCAAGGCGAUGAUGGGUAGGGGUCCUGAGAGGGAGAUCCCCCACACUGGUACUGAGACACGGACCAGACUCCUACGGGAGGCAGCAGUGAGGAAUAUUGGUCAAUGGAGGCAACUCUGAACCAGCCAUGCCGCGUGUAGGAAGAAUGUCUUAUGGAUUGUAAACUACUUUUAUACAGGAAGAAACCUACCCUUGCGAGGGUAAUUGACGGUACUGUAAGAAUAAGGAUCGGCUAACUCCGUGCCAGCAGCCGCGGUAAUACGGAGGAUUCGAGCGUUAUCCGGAAUCAUUGGGUUUAAAGGGUCCGUAGGGGGGUAGAUAAGUCAGUGGUGAAAGUUUUCAGCUCAACUGGAAAAAUGCCAUUGAUACUGUUUAUCUUGAAUUAGUGUGAAGUAACUAGAAUAUGUAGUGUAGCGGUGAAAUGCAUAGAUAUUACAUAGAAUACCGAUUGCGAAGGCAGGUUACUAACACUAUAUUGACGCUGAUGGACGAAAGCGUGGGUAGCGAACAGGAUUAGAUACCCUGGUAGUCCACGCCGUAAACGAUGGAUACUAGCUGUUUGGUUUUCGGACUGAGUGGCUAAGCGAAAGUGAUAAGUAUCCCACCUGGGGAGUACGCACGCAAGUGUGAAACUCAAAGGAAUUGACGGGGGCCCGCACAAGCGGUGGAGCAUGUGGUUUAAUUCGAUGAUACGCGAGGAACCUUACCAGGGCUUAAAUGUAGAUUGACAGGUUUAGAGAUAGACUUUCCUUCGGGCAAUUUACAAGGUGCUGCAUGGUUGUCGUCAGCUCGUGCCGUGAGGUGUCAGGUUAAGUCCUAUAACGAGCGCAACCCCUAUUGUUAGUUGCCAUCGAGUAAAGUCGGGAACUCUAACAAGACUGCCGGUGUAAACCGCGAGGAAGGUGGGGAUGACGUCAAAUCAUCACGGCCCUUACGUCCUGGGCCACACACGUGCUACAAUGGCCAGUACAGCGAGCAGCCACUUGGCAACAAGGAGCGAAUCUAUAAAACUGGUCACAGUUCGGAUCGGAAUCUGCAACUCGACUCCGUGAAGCUGGAAUCGCUAGUAAUCGGAUAUCAGCCAUGAUCCGGUGAAUACGUUCCCGGGCCUUGUACACACCGCCCGUCAAGCCAUGGAAGCUGGGGGUACCUGAAGUCGGUGACCGCAAGGAGCUGCCUAGGGUAAAACUGGUAACUAGGGCUAAGUCGUAACAAGGUAGCC
rnacentral:rRNA from 1 species